UUGGGUGCCUAGCGCACUGUGUGUCGAAGUUAACGCGAUAAGUCGACCGCCUGGGGAGUACGGCCGCAAGGUUAAAACUCAAAUGAAUUGACGGGGGCCCGCACAAGCGGUGGAGCAUGUGGUUUAAUUCGAUGCAACGCGAAGAACCUUACCUACUCUUGACAUCCUGCGAACCUGUGAGAGAUCGAUUCGUGCCUUCGGGAGCGCAGAGACAGGUGCUGCAUGGCUGUCGUCAGCUCGUGUUGUGAAAUGUUGGGUUAAGUCCCGUAACGAGCGCAACCCUUGUCCUUAUUUGCCAGCGGGUAAUGCCGGGAACUCUAAGGAGACUGCCGGUGACAAACCGGAGGAAGGUGGGGACGACGUCAAGUCAUCAUGGCCCUUACGAGUAGGGCUACACACGUGCUACAAUGGCCGGUACAAAGGGCAGCGAGCUCGCGAGAGUCAGCUAAUCCCGAAAAGCCGGUCUCAGUCCGGAUCGGAGUCUGCAACUCGACUCCGUGAAGUCGGAAUCGCUAGUAAUCGUGAAUCAGAAUGUCACGGUGAAUACGUUCCCGGGCCUUGUACACACCGCCCGU
rnacentral:rRNA from 1 species